CUUUUUUACAAGAUUACGUUGAAGAAAUUGAUUAGGGAGCGUGUAUGAACCCGCUCCCUAACCAAAACCCUCCCUAAAAGAAUAUGAAUUCUUGAACGUGAAUGUCGACACGAACUACAAUUUCAUAUAGGUGUCGUAGAUUCAUUUGGGGGAGCUGUGCUAGCUGAAAUGUAAUAUUGCUACUCUUGCAUUGCGCAUGUCAACGCAACUAUUACGCAACAAUACGCACUAUGAUAGCCACUCUUAAAAUAUUCAUAUAAAUAAAAUAUUUGGAUAAUAUACAAUAGUGAUUAUGUACCGUGGUGGCAUUCAGUACAAAUAAUAAAGUUAAAACAGCACAAUGAAAUAUAAAAGGAAUAAAUCAAUUUUAUUUUUUAGAUCAUGCUCAUUGUGCCUCCUCAGACCCCACUUCCAAUAGAAAAUAUAAAGGAGAUAUCUAUGUAUCCAUUUUAUGCUAUAAUCAUGUAGGAUAUUAUUGUUUUAGGUUUGUUCCACAUCUGCAGAAUAAAUUGCAACAGUAGAAGUGCAACACAGGAAAGAGUUACAUGCUAUUCAGAUGGACAAUGAGCUCCAGUGAAAUAAAAAAAUAAAAUUGAGAUAUAUUAAUAAAAGAAAAAUAUAAAUUUUAUAAAAACAAAUGA